rnacentral:rRNA from 1 species
GACGAACGCUGGCGGCGUGCUUAACACAUGCAAGUCGAACGGAAAGGCCCUGCUUUUGUGGGGUGCUCGAGUGGCGAACGGGUGAGUAACACGUGAGUAACCUGCCCUUGACUUUGGGAUAACUUCAGGAAACUGGGGCUAAUACCGGAUAGGAGCUCCUGCUGCAUGGUGGGGGUUGGAAAGUUUCGGCGGUUGGGGAUGGACUCGCGGCUGAUCAGCUUGUUGGUGGGGUAGUGGCUUACCAAGGCUUUGACGGGUAGCCGGCCUGAGAGGGUGACCGGCCACAUUGGGACUGAGAUACGGCCCAGACUCCUACGGGAGGCAGCAGUGGGGAAUAUUGCACAAUGGGCGGAAGCCUGAUGCAGCAACGCCGCGUGCGGGAUGACGGCCUUCGGGUUGUAAACCGCUUUCGCCUGUGACGGAGCGUGAGUGACGGUAAUGGGUAAAGAAGCACCGGCUAACUACGUG